UCCUCUGCUCCCCCCUACAAAGGAAAAAAAAUCAGUAGAAGACAAAUAGAAGAGAUCAUAUGUAGAGUGUUGGGUAAGUUUCAAAUGAAUUGAACAUCAAAAAACUUCAGAUGGAAGUGACUAUAAACUUGCAGCUUUGUCAUGUGCACCUUAACACUUGUAAUUCAUGCAUAUGGACAAAGCUUUGAGAACUCAGAGAUUGAAUCUCAGAGAUUGUUCUCUUUCAGCCACAAAUUGCCUCUACCUUUGUCUUCCUCUUAUAGGCCUCCUUGUUCCUUCUCCAUUUCUUCCUACCAUAAGUUAUGACCGUUAAUUGAGAGGAAAUGCCAGCAUUACCUUCGAGGUAGAAUUUUUGGUCAAAACUUUUCCCAGCUCUUUUUGACCAAUUUUUAUACCCUAUUAUUUCUAUUAAUAAUUUAAGUUGGUGAUCAUUCACUGUAUUUUGCAAAUCCAGUCACUGGAGGGACAAAAUUUAAGAUGCUUACCUAAGUAAGCUCAGUAAAUUCCCCAUUUCAAUCACCUAAUUGUGAGGGGAAUUGUAGUAGAUGCCAGGGCUUGCCCUCUGAGGGGACACCACUCAGCACCUGUGUCCUAGCCUGGUUCUCCUUGUGUCUAGGCCAUCUUGAGCCUCCCUCUGACCCCAGAGCCCACAUUCCAGGAACUGAGCCUACUGCCCGUCAGCAAGUGUGCAUUUUCCUCUUGGGUUGGCUUCUGUGUCCAUCUCAUGAAGACAGGAAACCAGUAGGAUGAGGUUCCUAACAAAUAUAUGAUCCAUCUGGAAAGAAAGAAGAAAUAUCCCUGAAUAUUCAGGCCUAAAUCCACUCCCUAGUCUAUGUCUGACACCCUCAUUAGUCCCUUUCUCUGCUUCCCCUCUCCUCAGCAAACUACUCUCAUGCAGCACAUGUUUAUUGAACACUGUGUACCAAAGAGCUGUGAGCUGUGGCUCGCCCUUUGGGGCAUCAUUCCAGACAGGUUUCAUCACCGUGCUCUCCACAAGUAUCUGCAGCUCCUGUCCUCUCUCUUCCUCUUUCCUCAGGCAUGACAAACCUGGCUAAGCGUCCCCUAGGUUGUUACAAUGACUGUCUGUGGUACAUUUGGAGGGCAAGUAUGUAUGCUAUCAGGGUUUAAAAAAAAAAAAAGCAGGGGUUCUAAAAGAGUGAAUAUUUACCUGAAAUGGAAUUGGAUAGAAGAGAAAUUGGGAAGAAUGCUCUGUUUUGGUAAUAGGAGGUAAUAUUUGUCAUUACCCAACCUUUAUUUGUCAAUAAGUUGCAGGUCCUGAACUAAGCACUUUAUUUGCAGUGCUUGGACCUUACAAAGAUCAGGUGAGAUAUGUACAAUAGUGCUAAGUGGCAUAGGGGUUAAGAAUUCAGGCUCUGAGGUUAAGUCUGAUUCCCCAUUUAGCAGCCAUGUGACCUUGGAUAUCACUUAACCAUGGAGCCUUAGGUCCUCAUCCUUAAAAUGAGAAUACCUUCUAAGAUUGUUGGAAGGAUUGGGAUAAUUGAAAUUAUGAAUAUAAAGCACUUAGUAUUAGAAUAGAAGGGGGUGCUUUAAAAAUAGUCAUGUCCAGGCUCCACCUUGGACCAACUGAAUUAGAAUUUCUGAGGGUAAGGUCUGGCAUUGUUUUGUUUUGUUUUGUUUUUUAACGUUUUCCAGGUGAAUCUAAGGCAGUGAAGGAUGAGAACCCUGAGACAGAGGUUUCUCUGCUGCAUAUGCCAGUGUUUGCCUUCAGCUGUGACUCUGGUUCCUGCUUAGAAUGAGGACAGAGCUAUUAACUGACUACACAGAGGGGGCAGCUUCCAUACACAAAACAUCUUGGUUUAUUUCUAGAACAACCUACCCCAGCAGGGACCAUCCCACUCAUUUUACCAGGAUUUGCCUCAGGUCACACGGUGUGCAGGAUCUGGGACACAGAAGAUAAAUCCUCAGGCUUGUCCAAGAUCAGGAGAAUAAGAAGACUCUCCCCCAGAAAACUGGGAGUCCAAAGGGCCAAAGUAAAGGUGAAUGUGAGAAGAGGAUCCCAGGAAAAAUCGUCUGUCUUGAUCAAAGUCCUGAAUAAACCAGAAUAAAAAAUACUCUUCCUUGAGAA